GAUGAAGAACGCAGCGAAAUGCGAUAAGUAAUGUGAAUUGCAGAAUUCCGUGAAUCAUCGAAUCUUUGAACGCAUAUUGCGCCCUCUGGUAUUCCGGGGGGCAUGCCUGUCCGAGCGUCAUUACAACCUUCAAGCACGGCUUGGCUGUUGAGCGGUCUGUUUUGACGAACAGGGCUCGAAAUGCAGUGGCGACGGCGAGAUUGGUGCCCGAGCGUAUGGGGCUUUGUCACACGCUCUGGUGGCUCCACUCGCAGUCUGCCAUAGACAAAAUCAAUCUGAUUGACCUCGGAUCAGGUAGGAACAGCCGCUGAACUUAAGCAUAUCAAUAAGCGGAGGA
rnacentral:misc_RNA from 1 species